AGAGUUUGAUCAUGGCUCAGGAUGAACGCUAGCGGCAGGCCUAAUACAUGCAAGUCGAACGAGAUUAAGAGGCUUGCUUCUUAUGAAAGUGGCGCACGGGUGCGUAACGCGUAUGCAACCUACCUUAAUCAGGGGGACAGCCCGAAGAAAUUCGGAUUAAGACCGCAUAAAAACACAGGAUAGCAUUAUCCAAUGUUCAAAUAUUUAUAGGAUUAAGAUGGGCAUGCGUGUCAUUAGCUAGUUGGCGGGGUAACGGCCCACCAAGGCGACGAUGACUAGGGGAUCUGAGAGGAUGACCCCCCACACUGGUACUGAGACACGGACCAGACUCCUACGGGAGGCAGCAGUAAGGAAUAUUGGUCAAUGGAGGGAACUCUGAACCAGCCAUGCCGCGUGCAGGAAGACAGCCCUCUGGGUCGUAAACUGCUUUUAUUCGGGAAUAAACCUUUCUACGUGUAGGAAGCUGAAUGUACCGAAGGAAUAAGGAUCGGCUAACUCCGUGCCAGCAGCCGCGGUAAUACGGAGGAUCCAAGCGUUAUCCGGAUUUAUUGGGUUUAAAGGGUGCGUAGGCGGCUUAUUAAGUCAGGGGUGAAAGACGGUGGCUCAACCAUCGCAGUGCCCUUGAUACUGAUGAGCUUGAAUACACUAGAGGUAGGCGGAAUGUGACAAGUAGCGGUGAAAUGCAUAGAUAUGUCACAGAACACCGAUGGCGAAGGCAGCCAUCUGGCCUAACACUGACGCUGAGGUGCGAAAGCAUGGGGAGCAAACAGGAUUAGAUACCCUGGUAGUCCAUGCCGUAAACGAUGUCUACUAGCCGUUGGGGCCUUUGAGGCUUUAGUGGCGCAGCUAACGCGAUAAGUAGACCGCCUGGGGAGUACGGUCGCAAGACUAAAACUCAAAUGAAUUGACGGGGGCCCGCACAAGCGGUGGAGCAUGUGGUUUAAUUCGAUGCAACGCGAAGAACCUUACCUGGCCUUGACAUAGUAAGAACUUUCCAGAGAUGGAUUGGUGCCUUCGGGAACUUACAUACAGGUGCUGCAUGGCUGUCGUCAGCUCGUGUCGUGAGAUGUUGGGUUAAGUCCCGCAACGAGCGCAACCCUUUUCCUUAUUUGCCAGCGAGUAAUGUCGGGAACUUUAAGGAUACUGCCAGUGACAAACUGGAGGAAGGCGGGGACGACGUCAAGUCAUCAUGGCCCUUACGGCCAGGGCUACACACGUGCUACAAUGGUCGGUACAAAGGGUUGCUACCUAGCGAUAGGAUGCUAAUCUCAAAAAGCCGAUCGUAGUCCGGAUUGGAGUCUGCAACUCGACUCCAUGAAGUCGGAAUCGCUAGUAAUCGCGGAUCAGAAUGCCGCGGUGAAUACGUUCCCGGGCCUUGUACACACCGCCCGUCACACCAUGGGAGUUUGUUGCACCAGAAGUAGCUAGCCUAACUGCAAAGAGGGCGGUUACCACGGUGUGGCCGAUGACUGGGGUGAAGUCGUAACAAGGUA
rnacentral:rRNA from 1 species